GAGGCGAACCGGGGGAACUGAAACAUCUAAGUACCCCGAGGAAAAGAAAUCAACCGAGAUUCCGAAAGUAGCGGCGAGCGAAAUUGGACUAGCCCUUAAGCUUUACACGCGUUAGACGAACGGUCUGGAAAGUCCGACGAUACAGGGUGAUAGUCCCGUAGUUGACGACGUGUGUUCAGUGAAAUCGAGUAGGGCGGGACACGUGAUAUCCUGUCUGAAUAUGGGGGGACCAUCCUCCAAGGCUAAAUACUACUGACUGACCGAUAGUGAACCAGUACCGUGAGGGAAAGGCGAAAAGAACCCCUGUGAGGGGAGUGAAAUAGAACCUGAAACCGUGUACGUACAAGCAGUAGGAGCAGGCUUGUCCUGUGACUGCGUACCUUUUGUAUAAUGGGUCAGCGACUUAUAUUCAGUGGCAAGGUUAACCAUCUAGGGGAGCCGUAGGGAAACCGAGUCUUAACUGGGCGUUCAGUCUCUGGAUAUAGACCCGAAACCAGGUGAUCUAGCCAUGGGCAGGUUGAAGGUUGAGUAACAUCAACUGGAGGACCGAACCGACUAAUGUUGAAAAAUUAGCGGAUGACUUGUGGCUAGGGGUGAAAGGCCAAUCAAACCUGGAGAUAGCUGGUUCUCCCCGAAAGCUAUUUAGGUAGCGCCUCGGACGAAUACUACUGGGGGUAGAGCACUGUUAAGGCUAGGGGGUCAUCCCGACUUACCAACCCUUUGCAAACUCCGAAUACCAGUAAGUACUAUCCGGGAGACACACGGCGGGUGCUAACGUCCGUCGUGGAGAGGGAAACAACCCAGACCGCCAGCUAAGGUCCCAAAUUACUACUAAGUGGGAAACGAUGUGGGAAGGCUCAGACAGCCAGGAUGUUGGCUUAGAAGCAGCCAUCAUUUAAAGAAAGCGUAAUAGCUCACUGGUCGAGUCGGCCUGCGCGGAAGAUGUAACGGGGCUAAGUAGUAAACCGAAGCUGCGGCAAUAUACUUUUGUAUAUUGGGUAGGGGAGCGUUCUGUAAGCGGUUGAAGGUGUGUGGUAACGCAUGCUGGACGUAUCAGAAGUGCGAAUGCUGACAUGAGUAACGAUAAAGGGGGUGAAAAACCUCCUCGCCGGAAGACCAAGGGUUCCUGUCCAACGUUAAUCGGGGCAGGGUAAGUCGACCCCUAAGGCGAGGCCGAAAGGCGUAGUCGAUGGGAAACGGGUUAAUAUUCCCGUACUUCUUACAAUUGCGAUGGGGGGACGGAGAAGGCUAGGUGGGCCUGGCGACGGUUGUCCAGGUUCAAGUGCGUAGGCUUAAGAGUUAGGUAAAUCCGGCUCUUU
rnacentral:rRNA from 1 species